GUCGGGGUGGCGGAACAGGCAGACGCGCACGUUUGAGGGGCGUGUGGUGUACACCGUGUGGGUUCGAGUCCCAUCCCCGACACCA
rnacentral:tRNA from 1 species